GAUGAACGCUAGCGGCAGGCUUAAUACAUGCAAGUCGAGGGGCAGCAUGACUGUAGCAAUACAGUUGAUGGCGACCGGCAAACGGGUGCGGAACACGUACAGAACCUUCCUUCGAGCGGGGAAUAGCCCAGAGAAAUUUGGAUUAAUACCCCAUAGUAUAUUAGAGUGGCAUCACUUUGAUAUUAAAGACUUAUCACUUGAAGAUGGCUGUGCGGCUGAUUAGGUAGUUGGCGGGGUAACGGCCCACCAAGCCUUCGAUCAGUAACUGGUGUGAGAGCACGACCAGUCACACGGGCACUGAGACACGGGCCCGACUCCUACGGGAGGCAGCAGUAAGGAAUAUUGGUCAAUGGACGAAAGUCUGAACCAGCCAUGCCGCGUGGAGGAUGAAGGUCCUCUGGAUUGUAAACUUCUUUUAUAUGGGACGAAAAAAGGGUUUUCUAACUCGUCUGACGGUACCAUAUGAAUAAGCACCGGCUAACUCCGUGCCAGCAG
rnacentral:rRNA from 1 species